rnacentral:rRNA from 1 species
GAACGGAGGAGAGCUUGCUCUCCAAUGUUAGUGGCGGACGGGUGCGUAACACGUGAGCAACUUGUCCUUCGGUGGGGGAUAGCCGGCCCAACGGCCGGGCAAUACCGCGUAUUGCAUCGUUAUCGCAUGGUGAUGAUGUGAAAGUGGCCGCAAGGUCGCGCCGGAGGAGGGGCUCGCGGCGUAUCAGCUUGUUGGUGGGGUAACGGCCUACCAAGGCGACGACGCGUAGCUGGUCUGAGAGGAUGAUCAGCCACAUUGGGACUGAGAUACGGCCCAGACUCCUACGGGAGGCAGCAGUGGGGAAUAUUGCGCAAUGGCCGCAAGGCUGACGCAGCGACGCCGUGUGUGGGAUGAAGGCUCUCGGGUUGUAAACCACUGUCAGGAGGGACGAAUACUCGGCUUCAAAUAGUUGACCGAGGGUGACGGUACCUCCAAAGGAAGCACCGGCUAACUCCGUGCCAGCAGCCGCGGUAACACGGAGGGUGCGAGCGUUGUCCGGAUUCACUGGGCGUAAAGCGCGCGUAGGCGGCUUUGUAAGUCAUCUGUGAAAUCCCGGGGCUCAACUCCGGGGCUGCAGGUGAUACUGCAGAGCUAGAGCUCGGUAGAGGCAAGUGGAAUUCCCGGUGUAGCGGUGGAAUGCGUAGAUAUCGGGAAGAACACCAGUGGCGAAGGCGGCUUGCUGGGCCGAUGCUGACGCUGAGGUGCGAAAGCGUGGGGAGCAAACAGGAUUAGAU